UACGAAGGGGGCUAGCGUUGCUCGGAAUUACUGGGCGUAAAGGGAGCGUAGGCGGAUAGUUUAGUCAGAGGUGAAAGCCCAGGGCUCAACCUUGGAACAGCCUUUGAUACUGGCUAUCUUGAGUACGGGAGAGGUGAGUGGAACUCCGAGUGUAGAGGUGAAAUUCGUAGAUAUUCGGAGGAACACCAGUGGCGAAGGCGGCUCACUGGUCCAUUACUGACGCUGAGGUGCGAAAGCGUGGGGAGCAAACAGG
rnacentral:rRNA from 1 species